UACAGAGGGUGCAAGCGUUGUUCGGAAUUAUUGGGCGUAAAGGGUGCGUAGGCGGUGCGGUAAGUCUGUUGUGAAAUCUCCGGGCUCAACUCGGAGUCUGCAACGGAAACUGCCGUGCUUGAGUAUGGGAGAGGUGAGUGGAACAGACGGUGGAGCGGUGAAAUGCGUAGAUAUCGUCUGGAACGCCGAAGGUGAAAACAGCUCGCUGGGGCUGCGCUGACGCUGAGACACGAAAGCCAGGGGAGCGAACGGG
rnacentral:rRNA from 1 species